rnacentral:rRNA from 1 species
AGUGAACGCUGGCGGUAGGCCUAACACAUGCAAGUCGAACGGCAGCACAGGAGAGCUUGCUCUCUGGGUGGCGAGUGGCGGACGGGUGAGGAAUACAUCGGAAUCUACUUUUUCGUGGGGGAUAACGUAGGGAAACUUACGCUAAUACCGCAUACGACCUACGGGUGAAAGCAGGGGAUCUUCGGACCUUGCGCGAUUGAAUGAGCCGAUGUCGGAUUAGCUAGUUGGCGGGGUAAAGGCCCACCAAGGCGACGAUCCGUAGCUGGCAUGAGAGGAUGAUCAGCCACACUGGAACUGGGACGCGGUCCAGACUCCUACGGGAGGCAGCAGUGGGGAAGAUUGGACAAUGGGCGCAAGCCUGAUCCAGCCAUACCGCGUGGGUGAAGAAGGCCUUCGGGUUGUAAAGCCCUUUUGUUGGGAAAGAAAUCCAGCUGGUUAAUACCCGGUUGGGAUGAUGGUACCCAAAGAAUAAGCACCGGCUAACUUCGUGCCAGCCGCCGCAGUAA